rnacentral:rRNA from 1 species
AUGGGAGACCAAAUAUUGCCUUUCCGGACAUCUCUAUACGCAGACGACGCAGUGCUAUUCAUCAACCCUUGCCGGCGUGAGAUUGUCGCCGUAAGCCAGAUCUUAGGGCUGUUCGGCGAUGCCACGGGCUUGCACACGAACCUCGCAAAGUCAUCCGUAUCGCCCAUCUGCUGCGAGGGGAUGGACCUGCAGGAGUUGCUCCAAGACUUGAACUGCCCGAUCAAGCAUUUUCCGUGCACCUACCUCGGCAUGCCC